rnacentral:lncRNA from 1 species
UGAAGUGUUACUUACUCGCAUAUUGUAUGAUUUGGAUCUUUACGAUAGCGACUCCGUCUUACUCCGUCGACGAUCUGGGCUCCUACACUUCUUCGGAUCCCCUCUCUCGGUGCCCAGCGACCGAGAAUCCAGGCAAGCAGCCAUUCCUUGAACAUGUUGUUUAUACCAAUGCCUCUCCCUCAUUCUUGCAUUAAGUUACGUUCUUAGUUCUUGUCACGAUGCCUCUAGGAUUGCAUAGCUUUAGUCAGCUCUACUAAAAAUGCCUGUUGUCUUGUUCCUUAUCCUAUUACCAUGUCACAUGUUGUUUUGCCCUAGUUGGUCAUUAGAAGUCUUGCUUAGAUUGCUCGUCUAGUGUCCUUACUUGGGGUUAUACAACUGCUACAUCCACAUGCUACUUUUCUCUAUUUAAUUGCACUUAUUAAACUGUGACCUGUUAUUACCUGCACAAGGCAACGAUGGGAGGCCGUGCUAACGCAUUGGUGUUUUGUUCCAUUGGCGCCGACCUAAGGACCGAGUUCUCGUUUUCGCCGACCCAAGAAACUUCGUGCUAACCGCUCGUGGGAGAAUAUAUGGGUUCCCCCUCGGCUUAGUACUCGUUUCAUAGCUCUUCUAGGGGCCACAUAGUUCGGGCAUUCCUUUUGGCAUAUCGCAUAUACACUGAUGUUGUGUUUGGAGACUUGUUGUUACUUUGCAUACAUAUAGGACUGCGGCACUAGUCUGGAGUGGUCAUUCUGCGGACACUGAACCACUACCAGCUGUCCACGCAACUCUUGAGUCCGUACGACGCUUCAGCCGAGCUCUCGUUUCGGAUUAGACUCAGUUGGGUGGUCUCCUGGAUUAGUUGUGGGGCUUGGAAACGUCGUGUCGCUCAAUCCUGCCGGCACAUGCUUUUGUGUGUGUUCCAUGCUAGUGGCAUCAAGGGUUGGACGAACGUGUACGGGUAAAUUGGCACACCCUGCAGGGAUAAAUCUUUCGGAAAGCCGCGUCCGCAGUUAUGGACGACUUGGUUGGUCAUUACUUGAUCAUAGAGAACUCAUACCAUUUGAUUAACUUAAUCUCUUAAAACUUGAGUAGUAACUAGCCUGAAUCAUGGAUAUGCUUAAAACUGCUUAAGUGUGAGUGCCUUUGGAUCAUUUCCUCACAAGGGGUUGAGGGGGUGAUAAGAGGUUGUGUUCUGUUUGGUGUUAGUUGAUAGAAGAUCACCUCACUUGGUAGACGCUCCUUAUCUUCUAUCUAGACGAUGUCAUUAGUGUGUCUCUCCAGAUACAUAUCGCUGCUGCAUAACCCACCUUUUACCCAUCCUUGAGACUUGUUGCAUAUCUAGUUCAGAUCUCCCGUAAGUCUUGCGAGUACUUUGUACUCAGUUGCUUUGCAACGUUGUUUUCCCAGAGUUUCCGGAGGAACAGGUGAGUGGUUACUUCGUGGAGUUCGACGACUACAGCUUCGACGUUUAGCCAGAAGAUUCCAGAGCAGGGUU